GUUUGUAGUUACACCUCUGGUUGGAGAGUCAGUACAACAAGUUUGGGGUGAAUAUGGUAUAGUUGGAGGAGUGAGUGUAACAGGUCAAGGGGAGGUGAAUGUGGGGACAGGGUAAAUGUGGGGGGAUGAGUGUGGCACAUUUGGAAUAGGGAGUGUUACAGGACAAGGGGAGGUGAUCAUGACAGAGUGACAGGAUUGGGGAGG